AAUGACCCUCUAAGGUGCCUCCCAGAUGCUGCAGGCUGUCUUGUAGUCUCUCUCAUUCUCUGGAAAUGGAGAUGCAUCCACCUCCAAAGGCUAUCAGAACGAAACUCUUGGGUGGACGAGGUAGGAGACCUUUUCUAGAAGUGAACAAGGAGCAGACAGAUGCUAGGAACAAGUUUUACAGAACUAGGAGUUCCCCAUGGCUCCUCUGCUCCCUCAUCUGUCACUGCACGACCCACCAUCAGUGAGCCAUUUCACUUACCUCCCCCCCCUUUCUAUUUCCACCCCCUCGGUCCAAGGCCACUGCCAUCUGUUGCCCAACUGACUCAACCCUCUCUACUGUGGUCUCCACGGGUGCCUUCCUGCUCCCUCAACUUCUUGCCCCCUCAACUCGGCCGAGUGGUGGUCAUGUCACUACUACGGUCCUUCCACUCAAAACCCUGCUAUAGUGUGCCCUUGCUUUUAGGAUGAAGACUGGAACCCAUGACUCCAACGUCUUUGCCUCACACUCUCCGUUGCAGGCCAUGCUCCAGCCAUAUUGGCCUUUUCCUGUUGUCUCUGAAUGUGCCACAUUCUAAACAGCCACUGGGGCUGUGCAUGUGAGGUUGCCUCUUCUUGGAAGACUCCUCUCAGGGCAAUAGACCACUCCAGCAUGGCCUUCACUCCUCCCAUUUCACGUUUACCCAGAUGAAUCCGUGCUGACUUCUGAAAUGGACCUGAAUCUUCAGCAGCCCAACACCAAGCUCUGGAGAGUUCAGGGCCCGGUCAUCGCCCCUGGAUGUAUUGGUGAUGCAGCUUCUUCCAUUGGGCCCCUCUCUGCCCUGACAGGCUCUCGGAGGUCACAGCGAGGCCCAUGGCCCCAGAAGAUGGAGUUACAAAUACGAGGCUGACUGCGGCCAGAUCAGGAGAGUCGGCCUGUUCUCCCAAUUCCUUCCAUCCCCUCUCCUGCUCCCUGACUCUUCCCCCCACCUGGUUUUUCAGGGCAAGGCAUUCAUUUGCCUGCCUCUCCUGUGGUCCCUUUCUUGCACCCACGAUAAGGAGCCUGCCCGUCAGCUGAGUGAUUGUAUUUUUUUACAGUUCCUAGCACAAACCUUCUCAUUUAUAUGUAAAGCAGCCAUUAGUCAUAGCUCCGUUCCCACACACUGCCUGAUGUACAAUCACAUUUUGCAGCGGAUGAAUCUUUCCACACAGCUGCUCUGCUAUGAAUAAUCCGUCUCCAGGCCCAUAAAUCAGAAAAAAAUCA